rnacentral:rRNA from 1 species
AUUCCAGCUCCAAUAGCGUAUAUUAAAGUUGUUGCAGUUAAAAAGCUCGUAGUUGGAUUUCUGGUGUGGGGUGCUUGACCCGCCGCGGUUACGCGUGUGAGUGUCGGUGUGCUCUGCCCAUCCUUCUAGAAAUUGGCUCUGCCCUUCAUUGGGUUGGGGUCAGGAUCUAGAUCUUUUACUUUGAAAAAAUUAGAGUGUUUAAAGCAAGCGUUGCGUGAAUACAUUAGCAUGGAAUAAUAACUUAGGACUUUGGUUCUAUUUUGUUGGUUUCUAGGACCGAAGUAAUGAUUGAUAGGGAUAGUUGGGGGUGCUAGUAUUCGGCGGCCAGAGGUGAAAUUCUUGGAUUCGCUGAAGACUAACUUAUGCGAAAGCAUUCACCAAGGAUGUCUUCAUCA